UGCGAGACAUGAAUUACAAAGAAGAGCACACAUUCACUCUCUGCGUGCGAUUAGACUCAGAAAAUUGUGAGGGACCCAUCGACCCAAUUUUCUGACUGUUUCCAUGGCACGCAAGUGACGAUGAAUGGUUGAAUGACCAAAUCCAAGUUUCUCUCCU